GACCCCUACUACUAGUACCAUCAGCCCUGCAGACCCCUUCCACCAGCCCAUGUUCUGCCCAUCUGCAGGUCCAACAAUGUGGAGUCAUCUGGCUACAACUACAACAUUGGCCUGACCGUGCCCUAUGACAUCCUGUCUGGCUCUCACCCCUCCCACUGACCCCUACCACCAGCCCUUCAGACCCCUACUAUUAGAACCACCAGCCCUUCAGACUCCUUCCACCAGCCCUUCAGACCCCUUCCACCAGCCCUUCAGACUCCUACCACCAGCCCUUCAGAACCCCUACCACCAGCCCUUCAGACUACUUCCACCACUUCAGACCCCUACCACCAGCUCUUCAGACCCCUUCCACCAGCCCUUCAGACCCUACCACCAGCCCUUCAGACCCCUACCACCAGCCCUUCAGACUACUUCCACCAGCCCUUCAGACCCCUACCACCAGCUCUUCAGACCCCUUCCACCAGCCCUUCAGACUCCUACCACCAGCCCUUCAGACCCCUACCACCAGCCCUGUAGACAGUAUGUACAAAGCAAAUCAGCUUUUAUAUAUCCUUUUGAUUUUUCAAACUAA
rnacentral:lncRNA from 1 species